GAGUUUGAUCCUGGCUCAGGAUGAACGCUGGCGGCGUGCUUAACACAUGCAAGUCGAACGAAGCACUUUAUUUGAUUUCCUUCGGGACUGAUUAUUUUGUGACUGAGUGGCGGACGGGUGAGUAACGCGUGGGUAACCUGCCUUGUACAGGGGGAUAACAGUUGGAAACGGCUGCUAAUACCGCAUAAGCCCACGACCCGGCAUCGGGAAGAGGGAAAAGGAGCAAUCCGCUUUGAGAUGGCCUCGCGUCCGAUUAGCUAGUUGGUGAGGUAACGGCCCACCAAGGCGACGAUUGGUAGCCGGACUGAGAGGUUGAACGGCCACAUUGGGACUGAGACACGGUCCAAACUCCUACGGGAGGCAGCAGUGGGGAAUAUUGCACAAUGGGGGAAACCCUGAUGCAGCGACGCCGCGUGAGUGAUGAAGUAUUUCGGUAUGUAAAGCUCUAUCAGCAGGGAAGAAAAUGACGGUACCUGACUAAGAAGCCCCGGCUAACUACGUGCCAGCCGCCGCGGUAAUUC
rnacentral:rRNA from 1 species